UUUACACUUCCGGGUUGACCGGAGCGUGAGUGACGAGGAUGAAGGAGCAGAGAGUUAAUGGCGUCGAGCAGCUGACAGUGGACUGUGUGUGUCGUCAGUGUCGUGUUUUAUCACUAACAGACUGUGAAAUGUUGUCGGACGACGUGCUGUGAGUGUGUGAGUUGGACUCUCCAUCGCAGUCGAAGUGUUUGUGUUUUAAUGGACACGAAGCAAGUUCGGCUAAGCUAGCUAGCAGGAGCUAAGCUAGCUAGCAGGAGCUAGGCUAGCGGCCCGGUCAUUGUCGAGAGGACGUCUGCGUGGACGGGAGGAGCUUUGCCGGGUCACCACGAAGAAUGUAGCCGACGGACGGAGCUUCGCUGCCGCAGAGGGACACGGAGGUUUAUCGCUGCGAGCAUUUUGUUUUCACAGACUAACCUCGCCUCAUAACAAGGCCGCGACCUCCUGUUAGCUCGGAGCUAUGUCUGCAAGUCGAGAUUUACACGAUGCCGAUAAUGACGCCAUUGUCUGCCUGUAAGACAUUACGAGACAGUACGCAGGACAACAAACAACCAGAUAUUGCAUCGCAGGCGGAGGCUGUGAGGAGUUCAGCUCGGAGUCGAUCGAGGACAAAGAGGCUGCUGGAAGCGAGACAGAGUGCUAGCUGAGGAUGAGUUGGACCUUUGGAAGUGCGCCGCCAUGGACCUGAUGUCUGAGGAGGAAGACGGCACAAGAUGGCGGGUGUCUGGAUGAAUUGUGCGACCUCCGUCCUUUGGCAUCCGGGAGCUCACCGAGCUCUGCGCCGCACUGCAGUCACAUGAGAGGCGAUUCCGAAGUACAGGGCAGCGCACCACAGACAUCUGCAAAAACAGACACUUCGGUGCUGUAGGAUUUUGGGCCUCUUGUGAGCUUCCCGUUUGUUGUGUGGGCAGAUUAUGCUUUGUACAUGCUGUGUGUUUGUUUGUGCUAAUAAAACUCUUUCUUUGAAUAAACAACUCCUUCCUGGCAAAUGUUGCUUUCCUCAGUAAAUUCAUUCAUGUCAUUGAUGAUACCAUAAAUAUAAAUGAAUGAAUAAAUCAUAUAAAUAUAUAUAUAUAUAUAUAUAUAUAUAUAUAUAUAUAUAUAUAUAUAUAUAUAUAUAUAUAUAUAAAUAAAUAAAUAUA
rnacentral:lncRNA from 1 species